rnacentral:rRNA from 1 species
AUACGGAAGGUGCAAGCGUUAAUCGGAAUUACUGGGCGUAAAGCGCGCGUAGGCGGCAUUGUAAGUCGGAUGUGAAAGCCCUGGGCUUAACCUGGGAAUGGCAUUCGAUACUGCAGAGCUAGAGUAUGGUAGAGGGAAGUGGAAUUUCCGGUGUAGCGGUGAAAUGCGUAGAUAUCGGAAGGAACACCAGUGGCGAAGGCGACUUCCUGGGCCAAUACUGACGCUGAGGGACGAAAGCGUGGGGAGCAAACAGGAUUAGAAACCCCUGUAGUCC